UAGUCCACGCCGUAAACGAUGAUCACUAGAUAUUGGCCUUUAGGUCAGUGUCGGAGCGAAAGUAUUAAGUGAUCCACCUGGGGAGUACGUUCGCAAGAUUGAAACUCAAAGGAAUUGACGGGGGCCCGCACAAGCGGAGGAACAUGUGGUUUAAUUCGAUGAUACGCGAGGAACCUUACCUGGACUUAAAUGUGCGUUGCAUAGAUCAGAGAUGGUCUUUUCUUCGGACUACGUACAAGGUGCUGCAUGGUUGUCGUCAGCUCGUGCCGUGAGGUGUCGGGUUAAGUCCCAUAACGAGCGCAACCCUUAUCCUUAGUUGCCGGCGGGUCAUGCCGGGGACUCUGAGGAGACUGCCACCGUAAGGUGUGAGGAAGGUGGGGAUGACGUCAAAUCAGCACGGCCCUUAUGUCCAGGGCUACACACGUGUUACAAUGGACGGUACAAAGGGCAGCUACCUGGUGACAGGAUGCUAAUCUCUAAAGCCGUUCUCAGUUCGGAUCGAAGUCUGCAACCCG
rnacentral:rRNA from 1 species